GAUGAAGAACGCAGCGAAAUGCGAUAAGUAGUGUGAAUUGCAGAAUUCAGUGAAUCAUCGAAUCUUUGAACGCACAUUGCGCCCUUUGGUAUUCCUUAGGGCAUGCCUGUUCGAGCGUCAUUUAAACCUUCAAGCUAAGCUUGGUGUUGGGUGACUGUCCGCUUCACGGCGGACUCGCCUCAGAAUUAUUGGCGGCCGGUACAUUGGCUUCGAGCGCAGCAGAAACGCGAACUCGGGCCCGUCGUAUUGGCUCCCAGAAGCUAUCUUCACAAUUUUGCCCUCGGAUCAGGUAGGGAUACCCGCUGAACUUAAGCAUAUCAAUAAGCGGAGGA
rnacentral:misc_RNA from 1 species